UACGUAGGGUGCAAGCGUUGUCCGGAAUUAUUGGGCGUAAAGAACUCGUAGGUGGCUUGUCACGUCGGGUGUGAAAUCCCAGGGCUUAACUCUGGGUCUGCAUUCGAUACGGGCAAGCUAGAGUUCGGUAGGGGAGACUGGAAUUCCUGGUGUAGCGGUGAAAUGCGCAGAUAUCAGGAGGAACACCGGUGGCGAAGGCGGGUCUCUGGGCCGAUACUGACGCUGAGGAGCGAAAAGCGUGGGGGAGCAAACAGG
rnacentral:rRNA from 1 species